CCUACGGGUGGCAGCAGUGAGGAAUAUUGGUCAAUGGACGAGAGUCUGAACCAGCCAAGUAGCGUGAAGGAUGACUGCCCUAUGGGUUGUAAACUUCUUUUAUAUGGGAAUAAAACGUUCCACGUGUGUGAUUUUGUAUGUACCAUAUGAAUAAGGAUCGGCUAACUCCGUGCCAGCAGCCGCGGUAAUACGGAGGAUCCGAGCGUUAUCCGGAUUUAUUGGGUUUAAAGGGAGCGUAGGUGGAUUGUUAAGUCAGUUGUGAAAGUUUGCGGCUCAACCGUAAAAUUGCAGUUGAAACUGGCAGUCUUGAGUACAGUAGAGGUGGGCGGAAUUCGUGGUGUAGCGGUGAAAUGCUUAGAUAUCACGAAGAACUCCGAUUGCGAAGGCAGUUCACUGGACUGCAACUGACACUGAGGCUCGAAAGUGUGGGUAUCAAACAGGAUUAGAUACCCUUGUAGUC
rnacentral:rRNA from 1 species